rnacentral:rRNA from 1 species
GGGCUACACACGUGCUACAAUGGCUAGUACAAAGGGUUGCCAACUCGCGAGAGUGCGCUAAUCCCAUAAAGCUAGUCGUAGUCCGGAUCGGAGUCUGCAACUCGACUCCGUGAAGUCGGAAUCGCUAGUAAUCGCGUAUCAGCAAUGACGCGGUGAAUACGUUCCCGGACCUUGUACACACCGCCCGUCAAGCCAUGGGAGUUGGGUAUGCCUGAAGAUGGUUGUUGAA